rnacentral:lncRNA from 1 species
CGAAACCUCUUGAGACAAAGUCCCAAAAAGGGGUGUUCUUUUAUUGGCGAUGAACUUUACAAUUGGAAACGAAAAACAACGUGCCUCCAAGGGACGCAAGCACACGAGUUACAGAAAGGAAAGUAUUUAAGUCUAAAAGCUAAAGAAAUGAAAAUUACAUAUUCUCUUGUUCGAGAGUUUUGGAUUCGGUCCUUUGCUUCUACGCCUUUUCUCCCUUUUAUACCUCAUAGACGAUCUCUUUGUGAUUAACUACUCUGAAAACUGCUUGAUCGUCCUAUAACUACCCACUUUCUUUGUAGUGGCCANAAUGAAAUGCGAGAAAAUCUAAAGCUGGAACUCAGUAAUUAUAAAGGUAAUAUUUCUAUUGCUUGUGAUUUAUUCACCGGAAGUAACUAUAAAUGUUACAUUUGCGUUACUGCUCAUUACAUUGAUUCCAAUUGGACUAUGCAAAAAAGAAUUAUCGCGGUUAGGAUGUUAAAAAAUCCGCGUAAAACUGACCAUAUUUUUAAAUAUUUGAUGGAGAUUUUUAAUGAAUUUGGAGUGUUAAAUAAAAUAUUUUCACUUGCUUUUGAUAAUGUAUCUGGGUACGAUGAUGUGAUUGAGAUGCUUAUUACAUCGUUAGAGCCUCCAUUCGAUGCUAAAUUAUUUCACGUGAGUCAUUUUUUUAAUAUUAUAAGUUCAAUUGCUCGAGAUGGACUUGCACUAGUUGAAACACAUGUACGUAAUAUUAGAAUGGCUCUUAAGUUUAUAUCGUCUUCUCAAUCACGCCAAAAAGAAUUUGGUGAAAUAUGUGAAUCUUUUAAUUUGAAAAAUAGAAGAUUUGUUGAUGAUGAUAUGAAUCCUAGAUGGAAUUCCACAUAUCUUAUGUUACAAUCUUGUAAAGAUUAUCGUGAUGCCAUCACAGCUUUUUAUCAUAAAAAACAGAGUCAAUAUUUUCUAAGUGAUGACGACUGGAAUAUUGCUUUUACUUUUAUGAAAUUUAUGCUUUGUUUUCAUGUUACUAUUAAAUAUUCAUCCCCUCAUAGUAUUAUUCUUCAUUUCUAUAACAUAUCAAAAUCAUUCUCUGAAUAUAGAAAUAAUGAAAGUAUUGCCCAUAUUUGUGAUACAAUGGAAAAGAAAUUCUUAAAAUAUUGGGAAGAUAUACCUAUAUUAUUUGCAUUGUCUAUCGUGAUGGAUCCUCGUAUUAAAUUAUCAGCUCUAGAAUAUUAUCUUAAUCAAAUUUCAAAAAAUUUAAAUACCGAGUCAAAAAUAAAGAUUGAUGAUGUAAGUAGCCUUUCGCAUGAAAUGUAUAGUAAUUAUGCUACUAAAUAUAAAAAUAUGAAUCAUCGUGACUUUACUUAUGAAGGUGAAGAUAAAUUUAUGUUGUUGCUUAAGGAAAUUCAUAGUUUAAGAUCUAAUUCUUCGACCAACGAAUUAUCUACUUAUCUUGAAACUAAUAUUGCUCAUGAAGACUUGAAUUUAGGUGUUCUAAACUGGUGGAAAUUGCAUGAAUGGAAAUACCCAAUACUUUCCAUUAUGGCACGUGAUCUAUUAACACUCCCAGUGUCAACGCAAGCAUCAGAGUCUGAUUUGCGUGCACGGAACAAAAUACUCGAAGAUCGAAGGAAUUUACUAACAGCAGAAAUGUUUGAAUGUAUGGUGUGUUUGAAGGACUGGCAAAAUAUGGAACUUGAUGCUAUUACAUACAACAACGAGUAUUUUGAAAUAGAAGACGAUGAUUAAUAUGUCGAUUCCGUUACCGUUACAUGUCAAGUUGAAACAUCAUUAGUAUUAAUGUACAAUUGUAGCUUUAUGUGAAAUGAAGAUGGGAGGAUCAAAUUUUGGGCAUUGAAUUUCCAAAUUUAUUUACUUACUAGCAAUAAUGGAAAUUUUUACAGCAGCAGUGAUCAUUCGGCAGAAGAUGGGGAAUGAGUAGAGUAGUUAGCAUUAUUAUGAAUGUGAUUAGACCAUUAUUAUUGUUUCGCGCGGGUUAACUCGCUAACAAUUAAAGGGGAUCAGACGAUUGUGUAAGGGACGAAACCUCUUGAGACAAAAUCCCAAAAAGGGGUGUUCUUUUAUUGGCGAUAAACUUUACAAUUGGAAACGAAAAACAACGUGCCUCCAAGGGGCGCAAGCACACGAGUUACAGAAAGGAAAGUAUUU